rnacentral:rRNA from 1 species
GGGUUGUGAGGUUAAGCGACUAAGCGUACACGGUGGAUGCCCUGGCAGUCAGAGGCGAUGAAGGGCGUGCUAAUCUGCGAUAAGCGCCGGUAAGGUGAUAUGAACCGUUAUAACCGGCGAUACCCGAAUGGGGAAACCCAGUGUGAUUCGUCACACUAUCAUUAACUGAAUCCAUAGGUUAAUGAGGCGAACCGGGGGAACUGAAACAUCUAAGUACCCCGAGGAAAAGAAAUCAACCGAGAUUCCCCCAGUAGCGGCGAGCGAACGGGGAGGAGCCCAGAGCCUGAAUCAGCAUGUGUGUUAGUGGAAGCGUCUGGAAAGUCGCGCGAUACAGGGUGACAGCC